UACGUAGGGUGCAAGCGUUAAUCGGAUUUACUGGGCGUAAAGCGUGCGCAGGCGGUCUGCUAAGUCAGGUGUGAAAUCCCCGGGCUUAACCUGGGAACUGCGCUUGUUACUGGCAGGCUGGAGUGUGGCAGAGGGGGGUGGAAUUCCACGUGUAGCAGUGAAAUGCGUAGAUAUCUGGAGGAAUACCGGUGGCGAAGGCGGCACCCUGGACCGGCAUUGACGCUGAGGAGCGAAAGCCAGGGGAGCAAACGGG
rnacentral:rRNA from 1 species